UGGGGGAUAUUGCACAAUGGGCGCAAGCCUGAUGCAGCGACGCCGCGUGGGGGAUGAAGGCCUUCGGGUUGUAAACUUCUUUUGCUCUGAACAAGGCGCACUUUGGGGUGUGUUGAGUGUAGGGGUUGAUUAGCGCCGGCUAACUACGUGCCAGCAGCCGCGGUAAUACGUAGGGCGCGAGCGUUGUCCGGAAUUAUUGGGCGUAAAGGGCUUGUAGGUGGCUGGUUGCGUCUGUCGUGAAAGCUCAUGGCUUAACUGUGGGUUUGCGGUGGGUACGGGCUGGCUUGAGUGCAGUAGGGGAGGCUGGAAUUCCUGGUGUAGCGGUGGAAUGCGCAGAUAUCAGGAGGAAUACCGGUGGCGAAGGCGGGUCUCUGGGCUGUUACUGGCACUGAGGAGCGAAAGCAUGGGGAGCGAACAGG
rnacentral:rRNA from 1 species